GGUGGAGGGGGUUCCCCCGCCUGCAGGUAAACAAACAAACUAAUCAAUAAAUCAAUAAACAAAAGGUGGAGGGGGUUCCCCCGUCAGUAGGUAAACAAACAAACUAAUCAAUAAAUCAAUAAACAAAAGGUGGAGGGGGUUCCCCCGUCAGUAGGUAAACAAAUAAACUAAUCAAUAAACAAAGGUGGAGGGGGUUCCCCC